AGUAAAAGUCGUAACAAGGUCUCCGUAGGUGAACNUGCGGAGGGAUCAUUAUCAGUUAAAAACUGACCCGAACUCCCUCGCGGGAUUGUAGGGUGCACGCGUAACAAACCCUUUGUUGUCCGACCAUGUUGCCUCGGGGGAGACCCUGCCUUCGGGCGGGUGGCACCCCGGUGGACCAAACCAAACUCUUGCAUAACAAUGUAGUCUGAGUGAUUUAAACAAUAAAUCAAAACUUUCAACAACGGAUCUCUUGGUUCUGGCAUCGAUGAAGAACGCAGCGAAAUGCGAUAAGUAAUGUGAAUUGCAGAAUUCAGUGAAUCAUCGAAUCUUUGAACGCACAUUGCGCCCCGUGGUAUUCCGCGGGGCAUGCCUGUUCGAGCGUCAUUACACCACUCAAGCCUCGCUUGGUAUUGGGCGACGCGGUACGCCGCGCGCCUCAAAUCUUCCGGCUGGUUCGAAUCGUCCCUCAGCGUUGUGGAAACUAUUCGCUAAAGGUGCUCGUUUCGGUCACGCCGUUAAACAACCCAAUUCAUUAAAGGUUGACCUCGGAUCAGGUAGGGAUACCCGCUGAACUUAAGCAUAUCAAUAAGCGGAGGAAAAGGAACCAACAGGGAUUGCCCCAGUAACG
rnacentral:rRNA from 1 species